GGCAAGUUUCAUACUAGAUAUUAGAAGUGUUAUAGAUAUAUUUGGCUUGAUACUGUUCUAGGUAACAGUUUGGAAUUUAAGAUGAAUAUUAAACAGUCGAUUUAUGGAGGAAUCAUAGUAUGUACAUGGAUAAAGAAUUUAUUAAAUGAUAGAACAUAGGACUUUCGGUUCCGGACUGGAUGAGAUAGGGAGCUUGCUGUAAGACCUCCAUUCCCACCGCCCCGCAAAAAAACCUUUUCUAGGCCGUUUACAGCCUCCAAAGCCUCCGGGACCAGACCUGCUGCUUCCAUGAUCGGAAUGGAUCGCUUUGUGACCCCUGUGACGCCCGUGACCGCUGCACCUCAGCCUCCGGCUGGUGCCUCAGCAAAGCUAUAGAAACGCCACACGGCUGGGAACACUGCGCCGGAAGCCGCCUCAGACGAGCUCACUCCUGCGCACAAGAAAACGGCUGCAGAUGGCAUAGGCUCCACUGCCUCCCAGGCAACCUGGACGGCUGUGGGAAGCCUGACGCCGGGCGCUGUACAGUGACGUCAUGGCGACUGCAUGCUGCCGGGAAGCCGCGCUCUGGGUGUGUUUGAUUCACUGGUGACUGGUAUCUAUAUAGAAAUCGGUCCCUAUAUUUUUUAUGUUUUUUGGGUGGCUGCUUGGACUGGCCUUUGCCUUUACCACUGUCAUGUUGGCGUGCUCUGGUGGAGCGCCUUGGUGGUGAGGACUCUGGUGAUAUAAUUGGAGUAGUCAUACCAGAACUGCUGCUUGGUUGGUGCUGGGAUCUGAGUGUUUCAUUGAGCAUCUUCCACACAAUCUGCUACUGUAUGGCUGAAGUGGACAUACAUAUCUUUACUGGAUGUGGACAAGGCCAUUUUGCUAGGAUUCCAUUUGAUGUUUUAGUGACUUCGUUUCUUACAAUCAAGAUGAGGGGAGUGUGGUUGGCGUCUUGGAGGUGUGUCCAAAAUUUGGAGUGGUGGGACCAAAGAAACUGUAGACAAUCUUCGUGGCAGGGUAGACUGCUGUGGUUGGAACUUUACAUCAGACCUUGCUUUCUUUGUUGGCACAUGUAUUAUUUUUUGGUGUGGUACAGGAGUCCGCCUUCUGCUGCUCAAGACUUCUUUUGAUGGACCUAGUAUUUAAAGUGUAAUUUUGGUAUGGCCAUUCCUUUACAAACAUAACCUAUACUACAAUGGACACUUAACCUGCUUCCGCAACGUCAUCAUCAUCAUCAGAUGUCAUGGGAGUGACUGUAGGACGACGACCAGUACUGCUUUUUUUCAACACUGUAAAUCAUGAAAAAAAUAAAAGAACUCAUUUAUUCAUGCUAUUGUUGAUACA